UACGGGGGGAGCAAGCGUUGUUCGGAUUUACUGGGCGUAAAGGGCGCGUAGGCGGCCAGCGCAAGUCAGUUGUGAAAUCUCCGGGCUUAACUCGGAACGGUCAACUGAUACUGCGCGGCUAGAGUGGAGAAGGGGCAACUGGAAUUCUCGGUGUAGCGGUGAAAUGCGUAGAUAUCGGGAAGAACACCCGUGGCGAAGGCGGUUCUCUGGGACGGUACUGACGCUGAGGCGCGACAGCGUGGGGAGCAAACAGG
rnacentral:rRNA from 1 species